ACGAACGCUGGCGGCGUGCCUAAUACAUGCAAGUAGGACGCACAGUCUAUACCGUAGCUUGCUACACCAUAGGCUGUGAGUUGCGAACGGGUGAGUAACGCGUAGGUAACCUGCCUAUUAGAGGGGGAUAACUAUUGGAAACGAUAGCUAAUACCGCAUAACAGUAUGUAACACAUGUUAGAUGCUUGAAAGAUGCAAUUGCAUCGCUAGUAGAUGGACCUGCGUUGUAUUAGCUAGUAGGUAGGGUAAUGGCCUACCUAGGCGACGAUACAUAGCCGACCUGAGAGGGUGAUCGGCCACACUGGGACUGAGACAUGGCCCAGACUCCUACGGGAGGCAGCAGUAGGGAAUCUUCGGCAAUGGGGGGAACCCUGACCGAGCAACGCCGCGUGAGUGAAGAAGGUUUUCGGAUCGUAAAGCUCUGUUGUUAAGGAAGAACGAGUGUGAGAAUGGAAAGUUCAUACUGUGACGGUACUUAACCAGAAAGGGACGGCUAACUACGUG
rnacentral:rRNA from 1 species